rnacentral:lncRNA from 1 species
AAGAAUUGCUUGACGAGCAAGUGUUGGUGUGCGCAUAAGACUGCUUGAUCAUUCUGCACUGAAGGUGUUUCAUACGUGAUCAAAUACUUCUCUCAAUCUUGUGAAGAUUGUGGCUGCCCUGUUGUGAUUACAGGAAGAGGACGUGUUGCGUUCUGGGAAACUUUUAGGAUUGUUCAAAGUUGUCAAAGACUGUAGGAGAUGGGAUAUCUUGCUACUAUUCUUUAGGUGUU